rnacentral:rRNA from 1 species
GAUGAACGCUGGCGGUAUGCCUUACACAUGCAAGUCGUACGAGAGUUUUAACUCAAGUGGCGGACGGGUGAGUAACACGUAAGAAUUUGCCUCUAGGAGGGGGAUAACAACUGGAAACGGUUGCUAAUACCCCAUAUGCUUUCGAGUGAAAUGGAUUUCCGCCUAGAGAGAAGCUUGCGGCUGAUUAGCUUGUUGGUGAGGUAAUGGCUCACCAAGGCGACGAUCAGUAUCUGGUUUGAGAGGACGAUCAGACACACUGGAACUGAGACACGGUCCAGACUCCUACGGGAGGCAGCAGUGGGAAUUUUCCGCAAUGGGCGAAAGCCUGACGGAGCAAUACCGCGUGAGGGAUGACGGCCUAUGGGUUGUAAACCUCUUUUUCAGGAGGAUAAUGACGUGUACCUGAAGAAUAAGCAUCGGCUAACUCCGUGCCAGCAGCCGCGGUAA